rnacentral:RNase_P_RNA from 1 species
UGGGCAGGCCGCCUUAUCGAUCCACCUUUGGUGGGUAGGAAAGUCCGGACACCAUAGGGAAGCAUAGCGGCUAACGGCCGUCAUCCGCCUCUGGCGGAUAGGACCAGUGCAACAGAAAGGAUGUACAGAUAAUGCUGUAGUGAAAUCAGGUAAACUCUAUGCGGUGAAAUGCCACGUAUACCUGGGCUUGAGAGUUCCCGCUCGAUCCAGGAGGGUAGGCAGAUAAAACGUUUUGGCAACAAAACGUUCAGAUAAAUGAUAAGGCCCUUGACCUGGUCAAGGGACAGAAUCCGGCUUAUAGGCCUGCUUUUUUA